UGGGGAAUAUUGGACAAUGGGGGGAACCCUGAUCCAGCAAUGCCGCGUGUGUGAAGAAGGCCUGAGGGUUGUAAAGCACUUUCAGAGGGGAGGAGGACUAUUAGGUUAAGAGCUAGAUAGUUGGACGUUACCCUCAGAAGCAGCACCGGCUAACUCCGUGCCAGCAGCCGCGGUAAUACGGGGGGUGCAAGCGUUAAUCGGAAUUAUUGGGCGUAAAGGGUGCGUAGGCGGCAAUUCAAGUCAUCUGUGAAAUCUCCGGGCUUAACUCGGAACGGUCAGAUGAUACUGCUUUGCUAGAGUGCAGAAGGGGCAAUCGGAAUUCUUGGUGUAGCGGUGAAAUGCGUAGAUAUCAAGAGGAACACCUGAGGUGAAGACGGGUUGCUGGGCUGACACUGACGCUGAGGCGCGAAAGCCAGGGGAGCAAACGGGAUUAGAUACCCACGUAGUCCCUGAGCGGGCUGGCAAGGCGCAU
rnacentral:rRNA from 1 species